CCAAUAGCGUAUAUUAAAGUUGUUGCAGUUAAAAAGCUCGUAGUUGAAUUUCGGGGUUAGUAGGUUGGUCAUGCCUCUGGUAUGUACUGGUCUCACUGAUUCCUCCUUCCUGAUGAACCUUAAUGCCAUUAAUUUGGUGUUUUGGGGAAUUUGGACUGUUACUUUGAAAAAAUUAGAGUGUUUAAAGCAAGCUAACGCUUGAAUACAUUAGCAUGGAAUAAUGAAAUAGGACGUUCGAUCCUAUUUUGUUGGUUUCUAGGAUUGACGUAAUGAUUAAUAGGGAUAGUUGGGGGCAUUAGUAUUCAAUUGUCAGAGGUGAAAUUCUUGGAUUUAUUGAAGACUAACUACUGCGAAAGCAUUUGCCAAGGAUGUUUUCAUUAAUCAAGAACGAAAGUUAGGGGAUCGAAGACGAUCAGAUACCGUCGUAGUCUUAACCAUAAACUAUGCCGACUAGGGAUCGGAUGAUGUUAAUUUUUUAAUUACUCAUUCGGCGCCUUACG
rnacentral:rRNA from 1 species